rnacentral:tRNA from 1 species
GGAGGCAUAGCUCAGCCGGGAGAGCACUUGCUCGACAAGCAAGGGGUCGCUGGUUCAAGUCCAGUUGUCUCCA